UGGGGAAUAUUGCACAAUGGGCGCAAGCCUGAUGCAGCCAUGCCGCGUGUAUGAAGAAGGCCUUCGGGUUGUAAAGUACUUUCAGCGGGGAGGAAGGGAGUAAAGUUAAUACCUUUGCUCAUUGACGUUACCCGCAGAAGAAGCACCGGCUAACUCCGUGCCAGCAGCCGCGGUAAUACGGAGGGUGCAAGCGUUAAUCGGAAUUACUGGGCGUAAAGCGCACGCAGGCGGUUUGUUAAGUCAGAUGUGAAAUCCUCGGGCUCAACCUGGGAAGUGCAUCUGAUACUGGCAAGCUUGAGUCUCGUAGAGGGGGGUAGAAUUCCAGGUGUAGCGGUGAAAUGCGUAGAGAUCUGGAGGAAUACCUGUGGCGAAGGCGGCCGCCUGGACGAAGACUGACGCUCAGGUGCGAAAGCGUGGGGAGCAAACAGG
rnacentral:rRNA from 1 species